GCUGAUGCACUUCGUGAGAGAUUGGAUGCGAACAAAGAACGUGGUUAGUUUCUCUUUCUUUUUGUUAGAUAAACUGAGGCUGGCUGGCUGGGUAACAAGUUAAAACGGCGUCCUUGUUUUAGUUGGGGCUGGCAUGAAACUCUUUUAUUACAAUAAAAGUGUAUUACAGUUAAGCUAGCUUUGAUUUGUGUUCUAUUUUUAUAUUUUAAUCAACUAUAUUGGUUUCUUUUUUCUUUUUUUUUUGUUUGCUUUGAAUACAUAUUAUUGAUGUUUUUCAUUGAUUGUUAUGGACAAUGGGAUUGUUUAUGAAGAUAGGCACCAUCUCAGGAUGCAAUAGAAGGAACACGAACGAGCAUUGAUGCAACAGAAAGGGCGACGUGGGGCGUCGGUUCAGAAUGACAGAGGAUAUUCAAGAAGUGUGUAGCUUCACAUCCAAACACACAAAUGUUGUUCUUUAAUGGUGGGUUGAUGAAGUUAAUUUCAGAUGCAUCAUGGGUACUUACACAAGAAUUUGUGGAUAAACAUGCAAUAGAUUAUGUGGCUCACGAUUCUCUUUCGUAGGCUUCUAAAACUCGGAUUUUAGAGAUGAACAAAAUUUUUGAGUUCGAGUUACCCAACUAAGUUUGGAAACAAAGAUUUUGAGUUUGAGUUACCCAAUGAAGAAGCGGAUGAUGGCAGCGAUGAU
rnacentral:lncRNA from 1 species